GCUGUCCAUUCUCCCGACAAAGUUAAUCGGUUGGGCGGCAGCUGGCCACGUUAUUAGAGACCACAGGUUACUGUUGCUCUGCCCAACAUCCUCCUCCUGCCUCAGCAGUGCAGAGGUCCAGGUGUUUACUUACCCAGCUAGGUUGGCUGGCUUGCUCAUGGCUUUACCUCCAGACUGGCUCGCUCUCUGCCUUUCAAAACGGACAUCUGCUCGUCCACCUUGGGCGUCCAGGUUCAGAGAGUGUGAUACUCAUCACCGACCUGCUCCCAAAUGUCUCCCCUUCUCAAUCAACGAAUUCCCUUCCUGUUCCCCGAUUUAAGAGGUGACGUCCACUAUACUACCCUUGUCAACUCUCUCCUGACAAGAACUGAAUCCACGUCUCAUGUGCCCUCUCAUCCACUGGCAUAUUGAAUGUUUCCUCUCCAAGCACAAAUUGAGCUCUUCUUCAACACCAUCAAUGAUGAACCUGUCGUGCACCGAAGCCUAUGAAGACCUCAAACCUUGUCCUGCACUGAAAACAAGCCUCUGAACACAUCAACUCAUGCCUCAUACCAUUCAAUCACCUCUGUGAUCCCUUCCCAACACUGUUGCUACAGGCGCCUCGCCUAGGGAUCCAUGGCCAGGCAGCUGUAAUAUCUGAAUAACACCUUAAGGACUUUGACUGACUGAGAGAAGGUGGAUGACAGCUAAACUUUACUGCCUCCUACUGGGCCUGCUGUGGUCCAGAGCUCGUCAUACGAUCAGCAAGAAGGC
rnacentral:lncRNA from 1 species